ensembl:lncRNA
UGAAAACAUUUUUUCAAAGUGUUAGAUUUCUUGAUAUAAAAUUUCCAUUUCCAAUGCAGGAAUAAAACAUGUAUUAACACAGACUUUGCUACUCUCUUCAAAGUUGCUAAGAAUAAAAAGUCAAUAAUAAACCACAACACCAAUAUAAAGAUUUAAACUUUAGAUAAUCUCUCAUGUGAAUUUUCAUUUCAGAAAAAAGGCGAGCUGCGCCCCGGCUGACCCGGAUGGAGGCUUCAAUUAUACACGAGAGGUACCGUAGGCUCUGGGCGCUACAGCCCCCGCCGGGCGAAGGUGACCGGCGGGGGAUAAAGUCCCAUGUGCGGGAGGAGCUCGCAAAUGGGCGCGUGCCUAAACCAAGCUGGAACCCCCAGCCA